UCCCCUUUUUUAAUCAUACAGGUUCCUCACUAAUUCUUAUCUUUGGGAAGAGGCUCCACCAAUUCAUACCGCUUCCUUGCAUUUUGGUUACCUCCUCCAUGUAUCUAACCUUCUGUAUAGUUCUGUUAGUUGCAACAGUUAAAGGCCAAUCCUGAUAGAAGUGCAAAAUGCAGUCAUUGAGGCUGGUCUUGAUAAAUCUAGAGAACCUUUAGUUACACUUAUCGUGCAAAAUGGAACUGUUAGAAAGGGGGACAUAGUAGUGUGUGGAGUAGCCUUUGGAAAGGUUGGUUGAUUACUCCUUGUUUUGAUGUAAUCAUAUGUAAUGUUGACAAAAGAUGAAAAUCCUCAUUUAUAUUAUUUGUCAUUUGGGUUCACAGGUCUUGUCAGCUUCUAGCUUAAGAGCUCUUGGGUCUGAUGGUGAAGUAGAAGGGAUUGGUUAAGUUGUGGCCUUAGACAAUGAUUAAGUCUUGUAGAUAAGGGGAGCUUGCGCUGGAAGGAGCUCAUUAUUUGACAACAGGGGAGCUCGUGAGUCUCAGGGAGCAGCAGCUUGUGGACUGUGAUCAUGAGGAAGUGAGAGGCUUGUCUUGUUAAGCUUUCUUGAAUAAGAGCUAAAGCUGCUAGUAUAUGCUUUUGCCUUUGAAAUAUAGGUUUGGAUCUUUUUCUUCAAGUCUGAGAAUAAUGAACUACCAAGAGAGUUUUGUACUGUAAACCAUAUGUAAACCAUGUUUGCUGCAAUAUAAGUUUCUUCUGUUCCAAAAUC